AACCUCUAGCUCUUGACUCGUUCAGAGAGAAGAGCGACCGUGAUGGUGCAGGUCCACGGCUCUCGAGGUUGACGUUGAGGGUGGUGACCGGCUAGUGUGCAGCUAUUCCUCAUCCCACAUAGACCGAGAGAUCCAGACGUCAAAAUGGCAACUGCUGGAGUUUCAACCGUGACCUCGUUUUAAAAUUUAUAACAUCCUCUGGCUUGGACCCAGUGGCCAACAUUAUUUAGCUCCCUGACCUCCUGAUGGAAAAACAGCUCUGUGGCAAAGUUACAGUCAAAAGAGUUUGAUGACAUGAGAAAACACUCACACCAGAAU